AAGACAAUAGUUUAUGAAGAGCGGUUAGUUUGCACCUAAAAGGAACAGUUGUUUGUCUUG
rnacentral:tRNA from 1 species